GAUUCCAAAAGUCUAAGGAGAAUUAGAGAUACAAGGGAAAACUAAGACAUGACUAUAGACUCGAAGACCAGCAACAAAAGUCCACCAAGUGAGUAGCCCCCAUACCAUCUGGGCUGGUCCCAUACUUGAGGGGAUCCUGAGGAAUGCUCCAGUAAACUGCUAGACGUUAUUUCCUUAAAGCUUCAAGAGGAAACUAAAAUUAAAAUUAAUGGCCUUCUUCCCUGAGCUAAAAGAAACCAUGUACCCAGGGGGAAAGAAAAACAUUCCAAAGACCAACAGCUCUAAAUCUAGAACACAGGAACUACCAACCAAAUGAUCUCCCUAAGACAGACAAGGAACGACAGGAAUGACUGACUUGGAGAAUGUGAACUGGACACCAUGACCUGUGAACAGCACACAGAUAUUCAGCAAAAAUUGUGAGAACUCCCGAGCAGUAGCUGGGAGGAGCUGCCCCAUAUCACAUGCGAAGAGCUCUUAACGGAAGAGCUUUAAACAGAAAAAACGACAGACCAGAAAUUAUAAUCCCGUUAAGGAAUCUGCCUUGAUUUGUAAGACCUGAAACCGACUAGGCGAGAGACAUUUUGCAUCCCGUUCCAUCAAAAGUGCUCUGGGAUUAUAAAGGUUCAAUGCAUUGAACAUACAGCAUCACAGACACAGGAGGAACCUCAAGGAUGUCCAUCAGCCCAGGACCUUUGUCUUCUGGGAGAGAACACCUACUUCCAGGGACAGGGGAUAGACUUAACCGGGUCAAACGGCAAGAAUGUCACCAGCCACACCUGCCACCUCUCCAGUACACAACCAUAGUGUAGCAGGAUUCUGCCACAGAGAGUCAUGACACGGAGGCUUUUCUUUCCAGGAAGCAACUUUAUUCCUGCCGACACCGCUCCGUUGGGUUCUUAGCCAAAGAACUGAGCCCCGAACGCUACGUGGCCUAGUUUUUUAAUGUAUUUUUUUCCUUCUUUGUCUCCCAUAUACGGUAACA